GUGAGGAAUAUUGGUCAAUGGGCGAGAGCCUGAACCAGCCAAGUCGCGUGAAGGAAGAAGGAUCUAUGGUUCGUAAACUUCUUUUGCAGGGGAAUAAAGUGCGGGACGUGUCCUGUUUUGUAUGUACCCUGAGAAUAAGGAUCGGCUAACUCCGUGCCAGCAGCCGCGGUAAUACGGAGGCUCCGAGCGUUAUCCGGAUUUAUUGGGUUUAAAGGGUGCGACGGUGGUUUGAUAAGUCAGCGGUGAAAGUUUGCAGCUUAACUGUAAAAAUGCCGUUGAAACUGGAGGACUUGAGUGCAAAUGAGGUAGGCGGAAUGCGUGGUGUAGCGGUGAAAUGCAUAGAUAUCACGCAGAACUCCGAUUUCGAAGGCAGCUUACUAAGCUACAACUGACACUGAAGCACGAAAGCGUGGGGAUCAAACAGGAUUAGAUACCCCGGUAGUCC
rnacentral:rRNA from 1 species